rnacentral:rRNA from 1 species
AUGCUGCAGAUACCAUCUAUUAAGAUGCGUACCAUGCUGAUUAGGUAUAUGAUUGAGAAUUUUUAGGCCAGCACGGGCAGAUUCAUUAUACAAGAGCAGGUUGGGAAGGUGACUCUCGGUGCGGUCGACGUCGAGUGCAUCUUUAACCUCGAGAACCAAGGACUGUCCGCUUCAGAUAUUCUGACUGAAGAAGGCGAGGACAUGAAGGAGCGGGUGCCGCCACAAUUUCUCAGUAAGACAUCAGAAAACAUAGUGAUAGAUAAUCUCAUUGAGGACAUAAUUAAAAGUAAAGCCACCGACGACGAUUUCCUUCGCAAAGUAGUGCUGGUCCUGUUAGGAACAAUUAUUGCUCCCAUGUCGAGCAAGAUUGUGCCAAAGCAGUACUACGCUUUGGUCUACGAUGUGAAACAUAUUUCAAAGAUUAACUGGAAUGCCUUCACCAUGAGUGUUCUCCUUGAUUGCCUUCGCAUAGUGAAGAAAGGCAAACACCUGCGCCAAUGGCCGAAAGGCAAUUUGGCUCUCUUGCAGGUACACAUAUCAGACCUGUUGCAUAAUGUCAAUUAUCAUAUCAUUGCAAUUUUAUGUGAUGUAUUUUACUAA